rnacentral:rRNA from 1 species
GACGAACGCUGGCGGCGUGCUUAACACAUGCAGGUCGAACGGAAAGGCCCUGCUUUUUUGGUGUGCUCGAGUGGCGAACGGGUGAGUAACACGUGAGUAACCUGCCCUUGACUUUGGGAUAACUUCAGGAAACUGGGGCUAAUACCGGAUAGGAGCUCCUUCUGCAUGGGGGGGUUUGGAAAGUUUCGGCGGUUGGGGAUGGACUCGCGGCUUAUCAGCUUGUUGGUGGGGUAGUGGCUUACCAAGGCUUUGACGGGUAGCCGGCCUGAGAGGGUGACCGGCCACACUGGGACUGAGACACGGCCCAGACUCCUACGGGAGGCAGCAGUGGGGAAUAUUGCACAAUGGGCGAAAGCCUGAUGCAGCAACGCCGCGUGAGGGAUGACGGCCUUCGGGUUGUAAACCGCUUUCGCCAGUGAAGAAGCGAAAGUGACGGUACCGGGAAAAGAAGCACCGGCUAACUACGUG